AUUUUUAUAUCGUUGUUUUUUUAUGAAAACCUCGUAACUCCAAAUUUGGUACCUUUUUUUUUUACAAGAAUUGAUGCUUUUAGGUCCCCUUUACGUCUGUCUCUAUGAACGUUUCACGACCCCUUGACCAAUGAAAUGUAUUCAAAAUAGCUUUUCAUCAAAACUCUUCAGUUCAUUGGCUCUCAAAGUUGUCCAUCAAACCCUGUAUCUCCACCAUGGCUCUUGAAGUGAAGCACACGGCUUCACCCUGAGGAUAUUUUUGCUCAGGGGUUCUUAGUGAGACGCAAUCAGAGCUUGUAGUAGCACAUCUGAGGGGGAGGAGAGUGGCCAGCCAAGAAAAGAAAAUACCCUUCAAAGUGGAAAGGAGAGGUUCAGAAGGAAAGGAGAAUUGAGGGUAAAUCCUAUCUUGGCAUCAAAAAGAUGAUUGAGUUGACUAAGGCAGUGUUUGAUUUAUUACUUACAUGGUUCUUACCUGAAUACCUACCUUGAUGUUUAAUUCCAUGCUGAAAUGUGUCUGACUUGCAUACUAAGUAACAUGAUCGAUAGUGACAUUUUACAUUUUGAUUGUUGUUUGAUCACUUACCUGAUCCUCCUUGAUAUUUCAUUCUGAGUGAAAAUUAAACAUCGCAUUUGGUGUAAAUCUUUUUAGUACGCGUUCACCAUCACAUGUACUUAAAAUUAUAUUGUGAAAUGCAUUUUUAUUAAUGGUAUUAAAAUUGUACAAUUAUUAAUGUCUCGAGUACCAUUUACCUUUCAAUGAAAUUGAACACAACGAUUAAGACCGUAAUUGAAACUUUACAGCCUACGGACUUUGAUGUCAGUCUUCAAUGGAGACUACCUGUGCUGGAGGAUAUCUGCAAGAUGGUGCUGGCAUGCUUAAAUAAUUAAUGAAUGUCAAAUCAAUCGCACUAAAUUGUUGUCCUAUUUGUUUGCUGUCACAGUUUACCAUAAAGCGUAAAAAAUAAAUAAAAAUACUAAAUGUGUAA